UUUGGUGAGUUGUAUACUGUAUGCCAAAAGCAUAUGGAGCAACUGAGGCAGCUCAUCAAGGUAGGUUGCAACGUAGAUCAAUGGUAGAUCGUCUGUCUCUUAAACAGGAUGUUGCGGGUUCGAUCCCCGCCGUAAUAAAAUGCAAAGACUGCCUCGGUUAUCAGUGAAAAGCAUCUAAUGCUUGACACGCAAGUGAAUCAAGUCCAUUGUAGCUCGCAAGGCGAAAGUGGUUUGUGUUAGAAGUUUCGUAGUUCGCAAGACUUAAUGGCUCGCAAGGUCAACGGAGAAGAAGACACAGAGUAGCUGGUAACGACAAGCCUACUGCCUGGCUUUAAAAACGGCGAUGCUGACAACAGACAGUGAUACCGCAAGGGUCGCUGUGGAUGUCUAGAGAAGCAGUGCUCGCAAGGUGCUGUAUAAUGCUAGAGGUGUUGUUGGCUUAAGGUGUAAUCUCAACCU
rnacentral:sRNA from 10 species